rnacentral:lncRNA from 1 species
AUGUCACUUUGCAGCCGGUGGGGCCAGGCUGGGAGAGGGCGAGAAGACGCUGGCCUCCCUGCGCCCACCCCCAGCCUACCCUCAUUUCCCCACCCUCAGCGGCCCCAGCUCCUCAGCACUCCCAGCUGGGCGCUCUUGUCAGCUGGUCCCACCCCUGGUGCCUGCUCCUGUCCAAGCCCUGGGGUCCGAGCCUGGAGCUGCCCCCUGGAUCCCGCUGUGCACCUCUGCUGGGACCCAAAGCCAUUGGCGAGUUGUCUUCAGCCACCCAGGUGCAGUGUAUUACACAGUUCUCUACAUGGUAAAAGCCCAGUAUCUGUGUAUUGCUUGGAGAAUCACGGAAGGUCAGACCCAAGAGGAAACUUAAGAGCACUGGUUCUGGGGAGACCACUGGAUACAAUGAGGAGAAUGGAGUCCAGAGGGGAGAGGACCAGCAAUGGUACUCGUCUCUCUUGCCUUGGGACCUUGCCCAUCACCCUGCCGUCAGAGACUGCACAGCAAGGAAUCCUCUCAUUUUGGAAAGAAAGGGCUUACUUCCUGGCAACACCAACAGAAAAACAGCUCCUCCAAGGAAAGAGUCACUAUUAUCGCCCAGCUUCCGUGACCAGGAACUAG